AACGAACGCUGGCGGCAUGCCUAACACAUGCCAGUCGAACGAGACCUUCGGGUCUAGUGGCGCACGGGUGCGUAACGCGUGGGAACCUGCCCUUAGGUUCGGAAUAACUCCCCGAAAGGGGUGCUAAUACCGGAUAAUGUCUUCGGACCAAAGAUUUAUCGCCUUUGGAUGGGCCCGCGUUGGAUUAGCUAGUUGGUAGGGUAAAAGCCUACCAAGGCGACGAUCCACAGCUGGUCUGAGAGGAUGAUCAGCCACACUGGGACUGAGACACGGCCCAGACUCCUACGGGAGGCAGCAGUGGGGAAUAUUGGACAAUGGGCGAAAGCCUGAUCCAGCAAUGCCGCGUGAGUGAUGAAGGCCUUAGGGUUGUAAAGCUCUUUUACCCGGGAUGAUAAUGACAGUACCGGGAGAAUAAGCUCCGGCUAACUCCGUG
rnacentral:rRNA from 1 species